rnacentral:rRNA from 1 species
UACAGAGGUCUCAAGCGUUAAUCGGAGUUACUGGGCUUAAAGGGUGCGUAGGCGGCGCUGUAAGUGCUUUGUGAAAUCCCAUGGCUUAACCAUGGAAUUGCUCGGCAGACUGCAGCGCUUGAGGUUGGUAGGGGUCGCUGGAACUCUAGGUGGAGCGGUGAAAUGCGUAGAUAUCAAGAGGAACACCUGCGGCGAAGGCGGGUUGCUGGGCCGACACUGACGCUGAGGCGCGAAAGCCAGGGGAGCGAACGGG